UACAGAGGGUGCGAGCGUUAAUCGGAAUUACUGGGCGUAAAGCGCGCGUAGACGGUUUUGUAAGUCAGAUGUGAAAUCCCUGGGCUCAACCUGGGAACUGCAUUUGAGACUGCAUGGCUAGAGUAUGGAAGAGGGAAGUGGAAUUUCCGGUGUAGCGGUGAAAUGCGUAGAUAUCGGAAGGAACACCAGUGGCGAAAGCGACUUCCUGGUCCAAUACUGACGUUCAUGUGCGAAAGCGUGGGAGCAAACAGG
rnacentral:rRNA from 1 species